rnacentral:rRNA from 1 species
CCUUCGGGUGAGCGGCGGACGGGUGAGUAACGCGUGGGAAUGUGCCCUUUGGUACGGAACAACUGAGGGAAACUUCAGCUAAUACCGUAUGUGCCCUUCGGGGAAAGAUUUAUCGCCAUUGGAGCAGCCCGCGUUGGAUUAGGUAGUUGGUGAGGUAAAGGCUCACCAAGCCUACGAUCCAUAGCUGGUCUGAGAGGAUGACCAGCCAGACUGGGACUGAGAACGGCCCAG